GACGAACGCUGGCGGCGUGCCUAAUACAUGCAAGUCGAGCGCAGGAAGCUGACGGAACUCUUCGGAGGGAAGGCAGUGGAAUGAGCGGCGGACGGGUGAGUAACACGUAAGGAACCUGCCUCAAGGAUUGGGAUAACUCCGAGAAAUCGGAGCUAAUACCGGAUAGUUCAUCGGACCGCAUGGUCCGUUGAUGAAAGGCGCGCCGGCGUCACCUUGAGAUGGCCUUGCGGUGCAUUAGCUAGUUGGUGGGGUAACGGCCCUCCAAGGCGACGAUGCAUAGCCGACCUGAGAGGGUGAUCGGCCACACUGGGACUGAGACACGGCCCAGACUCCUACGGGAGGCAGCAGUAGGGAAUCUUCCACAAUGGACGAAAGUCUGAUGGAGCAACGCCGCGUGAGUGAUGAAGGUUUUCGGAUCGUAAAACUCUGUUGUAAGGGAAGAACACGUACGAGAGGAAAUGCUCGUACCUUGACGGUACCUUACGAGAAAGCCACGGCUAACUACGUGCCAGCAGCCGCCGUAA
rnacentral:rRNA from 1 species